GGGGAUUUAGCUCAGCGGCCUAAGCACCUGCCUUGCAAGCAGGUGGUCAUGAGUUCGAUCCUCGGUACCG
rnacentral:tRNA from 1 species